CGGGGUGCACCAGGCGCGAAAACUUUACAAUGCGGGAAACCGUGAUAAGGGGACACCGAGUGCCAGCAUCAUAUGCUGGCUGUCCAGGUGUGUAAAAUACACCUGUCAGCAAGGGCCGGGCAAGACCGGUGCCAGCCGCCGCGGUAACACCGGCGGCCCGAGUGGUGAUCGUGAUUAUUGGGUCUAAAGGGUCCGUAGCCGGUUUGGUCAGUCCUCCGGGAAAUCUGACGGCUCAACCGUUAGGCUUUCGGGGGAUACUGCCAGGCUUGGAACCGGGAGAGGUAAGAGGUACUACAGGGGUAGGAGUGAAAUCUUGUAAUCCCUGUGAGACCACCUGUGGCGAAGGCGUCUUACCAGAACGGGUUCGACGGUGAGGGACGAAAGCUGGGGGCACGAACCGGAUUAGAUACCCGGGUAGUCCCAGCCGUAAACGAUGCUCGCUAGGUGUCAGGCAUGGCGCGACCGUGUCUGGUGCCGCAGGGAAGCCGUGAAGCGAGCCACCUGGGAAGUACGGCCGCAAGGCUGAAACUUAAAGGAAUUGGCGGGGGAGCACAAGGGCGAUUCGCGG
rnacentral:rRNA from 1 species